ACUCCUACGGGAGGCAGCAGUGGGGAAUAUUGGACAAUGGGGGCAACCCUGAUCCAGCAAUGCCGCGUGAGUGAUGAAGGCCUUAGGGUUGUAAAGCUCUUUUACCCGGGAUGAUAAUGACAGUACCGGGAGAAUAAGCCCCGGCUAACUCCGUGCCAGCAGCCGCGGUAAU
rnacentral:rRNA from 1 species